GUCAAAUCUCUUAAGCUUUAGCACAUCAAACAUAUGUUUUCUAGUGUAAAAGUACGUACUUAUUAGGACGACAAGGCAUAUGGUCCCACCAUCUUUAGGGUUUCUAUUGCGAAUAUGAAGAUGGAUGCAGCAAUAAAUUAAUAUCCAAGUCAAAAAGCUAGAAAGAAAGGAAAGGAUUGCAUUGUCUGCAAGAUAUAUGAGUUAUGUUUCAUCCAGUUUGCUUUUUCAUUUCUUUAACAUAUUUCAUCUUCUUUCUUUUUCUUCUUUGUUUCAUUAUUGAGAUGAAGUCAUUUCUAUUUUUCAACAUUUUGUCAAAGCCUAAUACCAGAUCACAUGUACAUAAGUUAAUUA
rnacentral:misc_RNA from 1 species